rnacentral:lncRNA from 1 species
GGGGUAGCGACUGGAGGGAGCAGGGGAGACAUUUAGGGUCGUGGGUGAUGAGGAUUAUUUUAGGCUGGUUACUUUUAAAACUGCAGAUGAGAAGGGGGCUCUGAGGAGUGGAAUUUGCUUGCCCUUUGAUGAGAGACAUUUGCGUUUGUGAAGGAAGUCUCCAUCUGUGGGGAGUGUCUCCCUCUCUGCACCAGGAGGAAGGCGGGAUGGCCUUAUCUGGAACUCUUAAUGGGGAAGGCAAGGACUUAAGUUGUUUACUGUCUGGCAACCUCAGACUUAUCUUUUCACUGGAUAUUUACAAAGUCAAAGGGAAGGUCUCAGCGGAAUCCACAGAGGUUCCCCAGGAACAUGACGACAUCCAGAAAGAAAAAUUCUGCAUUGGUACUCAGCACAAAUGACAGAAGAGAAAAUGUGGUGCCUUGAAGUUCGUCACACUGGAUGGUUGACAUCCCUAAGCCCCUCCUUUGCUGCCCAUUUCCCCUAUACAACUGCCUCAAGAUUCUGUAUGAUUUUAUGAUGGUCCUUUAGGACACUAGUCUGCCAUCUUCCGAUUAUGCUAACCAAUCAGAUAAACUUUCCUAUCUCAACCACAGGCUUGUUUGCAAUUGAUUGGCACCAGAUUAGAGCGAGCAGAGCAAGCCCCUUUUUCCUCAGUUACAAAUUUUCAUUUCAUUGCUUUUCUUUUUGACAGACUUAUCUUCUCACUGAAUAUUUACAAAUAUGGGAAGUGCCUCUGCCCAUGGCUAGUCGAGUCCAGGAGAAAUCUCAGGACUCUCCCAGCGGCUGCUGGGGUGUUCUUUCUCCCAGGGACUGUCCCCUGAGUUCCCCUGGUGGCUAAAGAAAUGAAACAGGCUCUAGAUUUCUUUGUUUGUUUGUUUUUGCUUCUGGUAAAUUGACCGGCUCAGUCUGGAAUAAGGUAAGUCGCCUCCGGGACUCCUGUGAACUUCCUUCCCCUCCUCUGGGGUCCCUUCCAUUCACAGAGGGGCCAUCUGGGCACACAUGCAGAGUGAGAACACUUGUAGGACUUUCUGCCCUAAAUCUGGAAACCGGUUCACUGGUGUCUGGUUUUUCUGUAUCUGGAUCUGUAUGUCUGUCCAUCUUGUGUGUCAGAAUGAGGAGAACUCAAUCUAUCCCGAGAAAAGGCCUCUGGACUGCCUCUUGGCUAAACGGGCUGAGUUCAGCUAUGAACCCAUGUCUAAGAAGAUAGUUUUCAUUUAUACCACCACAUGGCCACAAUAUUCUUUAGACUCCAGAGAGAAAAUGGCCAAAAUGGGACAGUUUCAGUUUACCCAAACUGGUGUAUUUGCAUAUGCAAUUGGAAGGAGCUGGUUAUAAAUUUAAACAACCAAUAGGGAGCCUAUUUUAAUCUUUUGAGGCUUUUGAAAUCAGGAAUAAUUUACUGCCUCUUUAAAAGAAAAUAAUUAAAUAAACAUGCUAGCGAAACAAAACCAAAGCUGCUCUUGCUUGAGCUUUCACACUUCAAUUCCCCCGAAAUUCCUGAUCUAAAAUUAAGCAAGUGAAAAUGAGCAAACUUUUGAGAUAAUUUGGAAUUGUAAUGGUUAUUCUGGGGAACCUCUGUUUCAGAUGACGUCACCUUAAGGGGAUACCCUUAAAAGAGAGAAUUCAGAACCUCUCAUGAUGGAAUGCAGUCUUUGAUUAAUAUACAGAAACUUCUAAAAGACAAAAUGAUUUCAAAAACUGCUAGAAAAAGGAUCCCUGUAGCAAAAAGAAAAGAAUCUUUCGUAAAUAUUUUUGGCCGUCUGAGCAGGUCCAUCUGCCAGAAAAACAGUUUGGACCCAACUAUUCCAUUGAGUUUUGCACCCGAGACCUGGUUAAAAUGUUGAAUAUCUCUGUUUGUGUCUAUCUGUCUCUAUGUUUAUUUGUCUGUGUCCAGAUGAUAUAACUUCUAAGGAGCUUUAUUUAAUUGGCUUAGAGUAAACACUUUUACAAGUUAUUUCUAAAUGUAAUAGAAACUAACCCAAAUGUCUUUCAAAUUAACAUGAUAUAAAAUGAUCUUUCAUUUGAAAGCUUAUUUGUUUGUUGGUUUGAUUGGAACAAAUAUGUUUUCAGAGUUAUCAACACUGGCUAUGUUACAAACAUUAUCUCUGUUACAAAACUUGUCAGCAAGAAUAAUACCAGAAUAAUAGCUGAUUUUGUCUGAUGUCUCAUGAGGGUUCUGUAGGCAAUCUAAAUAUAAUUAUUGGGGGAAGAAUAAACUAAAUAGAUCUAAAAAAAGAUGAAAGGCUUUUGGAGGAACUUUUUAACAGUAAUUAAGUGUAAUGGUAUAUGUACUUAAAACAACUCAAGAGGGUGGCUAAAUGCUUUAAUGUCACAUGAAGUUUUUGAGAGUAAUCUAAACAUAAUUGUUGGGAACAAAUAAUUUAGAUAAAUAAAAACGAGUAAGAGUUUUUGGGUACAAUAAUUAUGUUUUAUGGUCUGUAUACUUAAAAAACAGUUUCCAAAAUCUUUUUGGUAACAACCUUUAGAGCUCCACUAAAUUAAGUUAAAUGAUAAAAACCUGUUGAGUAUCUAGGUCAUUUCUACAUAAGACAAAAUAUUAGAAAUUGAUUGCUGAACACAGACUUGUCCGCCUCUGGUCUCUUAUCGCAAAGAAACUGAAAGAUGCUGAGUUUACUGAUAAACAUGUUUUGUACAUGCUGAGAAAUCUUCUGGGAGAAAGCAC